GGAUUCCCCUAGUAACGGCGAGUGAAGCGGGAAGAGCUCAAAUUUGAAAUCUGGCGGUCUACGGCCGUCCGAGUUGUAAUCUAGAGAGGUGUUUUCCGUGCCGGACCGUGUACAAGUCCCUUGGAACAGGGCGUCAUAGAGGGUGAGAAUCCCGUCCAUGACACGGACUACCGGUGCUCUGUGAUACACCUUCAAAGAGUCGAGUUGUUUGGGAAUGCAGCUCAAAAUGGGUGGUAAAUUCCAUCUAAAGCUAAAUACAGGCGAGAGACCGAUAGCGAACAAGUACCGUGAGGGAAAGAUGAAAAGAACUUUGGAAAGAGAGUUAAACAGUACGUGAAAUUGUUGAAAGGGAAACGCUUGAAGUCAGUCGCGUCUGCCAGGACUCAGCCUUGCUUCUGCAUGGUGCAUUUCCUGGUGGAUGGGCCAGCAUCGAUUUUGGUCGCCGGACAAGGGCGGGAGGAAUGUGGCAGCUUGCUGUGUUAUAGCCUCCCGUCGUACACGGUGGUUGGGAUCGAGGACUGCAGCACGCCUUUGGUCGGGGUUCGCCCACGCCACGUGCUUAGGAUGCUGGCGUAAUGGCUUUAAACGACCCGUCUUGAAACACGGACCAAGGAGUCUAACAUGCCUGCGAGUGUUUGGGCGUUAAACCCAGGCGCGUAAUGAAAGUGAAAAGUUGGGACUCUUUAGUGAGGCACCGACGCCCGAUCCUGACGUUCUCUGACGGAUUUGAGGUAGAGCAUGUAUGUUGGGACCCGAAAGAUGGUGAACUAUGCCUGAAUAGGGUGAAGCCAGAGGAAACUCUGGUGGAGGCUCGUAGCGAUUCUGACGUGCAAAUCGAUCGUCAAAUUUGGGUAUAGGGGCGAAAGACUAAUCGAACCAUCUAGUAGCUGGUUCC
rnacentral:rRNA from 1 species